rnacentral:lncRNA from 1 species
ACUAGAUAAGCCAUUUUUGUAUCAUGCCCUUAUACACUUAAUUAAUUAUUUGAUUUAUUUGAUUUAUGCUGUUAGUUUGCUUUUGGUUUACAUGCUUUUUAAAAUCAUAUUCAGAAUUUCAAACUGGUUAACUUCUAGGGUUAUUCUUUGUAUCAUGCUAUUUACAUGUAGGCUUUGUGUUCGUCGAUGAGAAAUUCAUCAACUUGAAUUGAAAGUUAUCAUCUGCUGAUGUGAUGCUUCUGUAGCCUCUUCUAUUCCUCCACAGUGUGUGAGCUAUUUUUGACCUCAGUUGACCUUCUAUGAUUACAGGGAUUAUCUGAUUCGAUUUUAGUCCAGUUACAUUGCCUGAAAGGCUUCAUUUACUUGGUCAAAUAACUUGAACUUGCAGGUUAGCAGUGUAAAGACAUAAUAUAAAAACAGACCAUAACAAUGUUAAGAUUACUUAAAAGAUUGUGCAAGAAAUCCCCAAAAGAUUAGCAUACUUGAUAAAGAUACAAUCUUCAGAACAGUAUUUUUUUUCAUAAGAAAUAUAUUGAAGGUAUGUAAACCUUCAUAAGAAGGUUACCUGGGGAAACAUCACCUUGUUUAUUCUGCUUAGUUGGAUUUGCACAUAACCAGUACAUAUGUUUUUGUAAGGCCUGUGUGAGGACUUCUGAGUUUUACAAGAGAGUGAACUGCUUCCAACCUUGUUUUUCAAAAUUAUACUGCUUUACUAAUAAGCUCCCCCAAACAAGCAGUUUGACCUAAGCCAUGUCCUCGCCACAAGCCAAAAGACAAGCUGUGAAUGAUUAGACUUUGAAAUUAUACUCAGUGAAACAUGCUUCUAGACAGACAGACACCAAAGUCAGCCCUAUUUUUUAUAAAGCGAUGUAGAGAAAUGUUCCUUUCCUGCUUAUAAAAUGCAAACAUGCAAAAGUGCUGAAAAUAGCUUGAGAAAAGUGCAGAUAGCAGGUCAGUACUGUUUCUUUGAAUAUAUAUAUAUUUCCAUCAUAAUAGCGCAUCUUAAACCGGUUCUAGCUCUAAAAAAUAAAUGCUCAGCAUUUGUAUAUAGAAACCACAGUCCUAUCUAUUUUAUUUCUGUAGGUGAUGUCAUUAAAUCAAUGGUGGAAGUCACACAAGGGAAAUCUUGA